GACGAACCGUGCGAACGUUGUUCGGAUUCACUGGGCUUAAAGGGCGCGUAGGCGGGUGGUCAAGUCAGGGGUGAAAGCCCACGGCCCAACCGUGGAAGUGCCUCUGAUACUGACUGUCUUGAGGGAGGUAGGGGCAUGCGGAACUUCCGGUGGAGCGGUGAAAUGCGUAGAUAUCGGAAGGAACGCCGGUGGCGAAAGCGGCGUGCUGGACCUCUUCUGACGCUGAGGCGCGAAAGCCAGGGGAGCGAACGGG
rnacentral:rRNA from 1 species